CAUGGUAUAGCUUAACAUUAAAGCAUCUCCUUUACACCGAGACAAUACUCGUGAAAAUCGGGUUACCUUGA
rnacentral:tRNA from 1 species